CCUACGGGAGGCAGCAGUGAGGAAUAUUGGUCAAUGGACGAGAGUCUGAACCAGCCAAGUAGCGUGAAGGAUGACUGCCCUAUGGGUUGUAAACUUCUUUUAUAUGGGAAUAAAACGUUCCACGUGUGGGAUUUUGUAUGUACCAUAUGAAUAAGGAUCGGCUAACUCCGGGCCAGCAGCCGCGGUAAUACGGAGGAUCCGAGCGUUAUCCGGGUUUAUUGGGUUUAAAGGGAGCGUAGGUGGAUUGUUAAGGCAGUUGUGAAAGUUUGCGGCUCAACCGUAAAAUUGCAGUUGAAACUGGCAGUCUUGAGUACAGUAGAGGUAGGCGGAAUUCGUGGUGUAGCGGUGAAAUGCUUAGAUAUCACGAAGAACUCCGAUUGCGAAGGCAGUUCACUGGACUGCAACUGACACUGAGGCUCGAAAGUGUGGGUAUCAAACAGGAUUAGAUACCCGAGUAGUC
rnacentral:rRNA from 1 species